GGGUUUUUAUUUUAUACUUUAAACAUUGAUUUUAUUUUUUAUGUUUUUAGAUGUUCAUGUUUUUGAAUGUUUUAUUCGAAUAAUAUAAAAAAUAAAAUAUAUAUUGACAUGGAUUAAACAAAGAUAUAUAUUAUUCUAUGUUGUAUAAACAAAUUGGCAAAAUAGAGAUGGAAGAUAAAAAUAUGGU
rnacentral:misc_RNA from 1 species